GCCUGCCUGGCUCAGUUGGUAGAGCAUGUGACUCUCGAUCUCAGGGUUGUGAGUUUGAGCCCCAUGUUGGGCA